rnacentral:lncRNA from 1 species
CCCACUGUCCAAGGAGCUGGCAGACAGGACUCUGGGCCAGCAGGGGCCUCUUUGCUCAUAUUCUCAGUGUUCGAGAUGAGAAGAAAGAAUGAUGGGAGAGUUGUUUGUCUUUCCAGCUGCUUAGAAGAAUCCAUUCUGUCACAGAAAACAGGAAACUUACUCUUUAAGCUCUACCCUCUCCUAACCUUAUAUUGGUUAUUUUUCUCAUUUAUGGGACCAAAUAACAGCCAAGAAGUAACUCGGGUGGGGGGGGGGAGUUCUAAUUCUGGAAUGUUUGAAAAUAUGUAGUCCUUCAUGGUAAGCAAAAUACGGAGUUAAGACUGGAAGACAGGAUUAACAGAAGAAAGUGAGUCUACCUGCUCAUGUCUCCACAGACCUGAAAGCAUAAAAAGAAACAUGUGGACAUGCUGGUGCUCAUCGUGUAUGAACCUUAGCCAGAAGAUGGAGCUUCCCACGAUUGUGUCAAUGACAGAAACAGAUGAAGAGAUCCACAGCCAAACAUUGGACAAAACUUGGGGAGUCUUAUGGAAGAGUUGGAAGGAUUUGGGACUCCAGAGAGAAUAGGAACGUCACAGGAAGACCAACAAAGUCAACUAACCUGGACCCUUGGAGGCUCUUAGAGACUGAACCAACAAUUAAAGAACAUGCAGAGGCUGGACCUAGGAUCUCACACAUACUUAGCAGAUGUGUAACUCUGUCUUCAUGUGGGUUCCCCAACAACUGGAGCAGGGGCUAUCCCUAAAACUGCUGCCAGUUUGUAUAUUCUGUUCUUCUAACUGGGUUCCCUUGUCUGGCCUCAGUGGGGGAGGAUACACCUAGACCUACAGAGACUUGAUGGGCCAAGGAUGGAGGAUAUGAGUGGGAGGCACUCCACCCUUUCAGAGGAGAAGGAGA